AACGAACGCUGGCGGCAUGCCUAACACAUGCAAGUCGAACGAGACCUUCGGGUCUAGGGGCGCACGGGUGCGUAACGCGUGGGAACCUGCCCUUAGGUUCGGAAUAACUCCCCGAAAGGGGUGCUAAUACCGGAUAAUGUCUUCGGACCAAAGAUUUAUCGCCUUUGGAUGGGCCCGCGUUGGCUUAGCUAGUUGGUAGGGUAAAAGCCUACCAAGGCGACGAUCCAUAGCUGGUCUGAGAGGAUGAUCAGCCACACUGGGACUGAGACACGGCCCAGACUCCUACGGGAGGCAGCAGUGGGGAAUAUUGGACAAUGGGCGAAAGCCUGAUCCAGCAAUGCCGCGUGAGUGAUGAAGGCCUUAGGGUUGUAAAGCUCUUUUACCCGGGAUGAUAAUGACAGUACCGGGAGAAUAAGCGCCGGCUAACUCCGUG
rnacentral:rRNA from 1 species